rnacentral:rRNA from 1 species
AGAGUUUGAUCCUGGCUCAGGACGAACGCUGGCGGCGUGCCUAAUACAUGCAAGUAGAACGCUGAAGGAGGAGCUUGCUUCUUUGGAUGAGUUGCGAACGGGUGAGUAACGCGUAGGUAACCUGCCUGGUAGCGGGGAUAACUAUUGGAAACGAUAGCUAAUACCGCAUAAGAGUAGAUGUUGCAUGACAUUUGCUUAAAAGGUGCACUUGCAUCACUACCAGAUGGACCUGCGUUGUAUUAGCUAGUUGGUGGGGUAACGGCUCACCAAGGCGACGAUACAUAGCCGACCUGAGAGGGUGAUCGGCCACACUGGGACUGAGACACGGCCCAGACUCCUACGGGAGGCAGCAGUAGGGAAUCUUCGGCAAUGGACGGAAGUCUGACCGAGCAACGCCGCGUGAGUGAAGAAGGUUUUCGGAUCGUAAAGCUCUGUUGUAAGAGAAGAACGAGUGUGAGAGUGGAAAGUUCACACUGUGACGGUAUCUUACCAGAAAGGGACGGCUAACUACGUGCCAGCAGCCGCGGUAAUACGUAGGUCCCGAGCGUUGUCCGGAUUUAUUGGGCGUAAAGCGAGCGCAGGCGGUUAGAUAAGUCUAGAAGUUAAAGGCUGUGGCUUAACCAUAGUAGGCUUUGGAAACUGUUUAACUGAGUGCAAGAGGGGAGAGUGGAAUUCCAUGUGUAGCGGUGAAAAUGCGUAGAUAUAUGGAGGAACACCGGUGGCGAAAGCGGCUCUCUGGCUUGUAACUGACGCUGAGGCUCGAAAGCGUGGGGAGCAAAACAGGAUUAGAUACCCUGGUAGUCCACGCUGUAAACGAUGAGUGCUAGGUGUUAGACCCUUUCCGGGGUUUAGUGCCGUAGCUAACGCAUUAAGCACUCCGCCUGGGGAGUACGACCGCAAGGUUGAAACUCAAAGGAAUUGACGGGGGCCCGCACAAGCGGUGGAGCAUGUGGUUUAAUUCGAAGCAACGCGAAGAACCUUACCAGGUCUUGACAUCCCUCUGACCGCUCUAGAGAUAGAGUUUUCCUUCGGGACAGAGGUGACAGGUGGUGCAUGGUUGUCGUCAGCUCGUGUCGUGAGAUGUUGGGUUAAGUCCCGCAACGAGCGCAACCCCUAUUGUUAGUUGCCAUCAUUUAGUUGGGCACUCUAGCGAGACUGCCGGUAAUAAACCGGAGGAAGGUGGGGAUGACGUCAGAUCAUCAUGCCCCUUAUGACCUGGGCUACACACGUGCUACAAUGGCUGGUACAACGAGUCGCAAGCCGGUGACGGCAAGCUAAUCUCUUAAAGCCAGUCUCAGUUCGGAUUGUAGGCUGCAACUCGCCUACAUGAAGUCGGAAUCGCUAGUAAUCGCGGAUCAGCACGCCGCGGUGAAUACGUUCCCGGGCCUUGUACACACCGCCCGUCACACCACGAGAGUUUGUAACACCCGAAGUCGGUGAGGUAACCGUAAGGAGCCAGCCGCCUAAGGUGGGAUAGAUGAUUGGGGUGAAGUCGUAACAAGGUAGCCGUAUCGGAAGGUGCGGCUGGAUCACCU